CUGAUGAGCACGCCGCGUGAGUGAUGAGGCCUUCGGGUCGUAAAGCUCUGUUGUUAGGGAAGAACACGUACCGGAGUAUCUGCGCGUACCUUGACGGUACCUAAACAGAAAGCCCCGGCUAACUACGUGCCAGCAGCCGCGGUAAUACGUAGGGGGCAAGCGUUAUUCGGAAUUAUUGGGCGUAAAGCGCGCGCAGGCGGUUUUUUAAGUCUGAUGUGAAAGCCCCGGGCUCAACCGGGGAAGUGCAUUGGAAACUGGGGGACUUGAGUGCAGAAGAGGGAAGUGGAAUUCCCCGUGUAGCGGUGAAAUGCGUAGAUAUGUGGAGGAACUUCGUGGCGAAGGCGGCUUUCUGGUCUGUAACUGACACUGANGCACGAAAGC
rnacentral:rRNA from 1 species